GUGGGUUCUAGGUAACUAAACACUAUCUCUAUAUGAAAAUGUUUGCUGUACUUAGUUGCUGAUGAUAAGGUGCGAGCCAUUGAAGCUGAAAUAAAUUGAAAUACAGUUAUAUAAAUCCUCAAUAAUAAAUCAUGGAACCUAAUUAAUAUGACGAGAAAAAUCAUAAUUAUAUUGGUUCCUUUUUAACUAUAAAAUUAUUCAUAUUUUUAUUAAAGAAAAAUGAUGAGCAGAUUAGUUGGCUGAUUUUGUUAGGUCAAUUAAAGUUUUUUUUUUUUUUUGUAAAGAGCCCAUUGGUCGGAUUCUCUUGCUAAUUUUUUGUAAAGAGCAACCCCAAUUCAGCAUGUGGAGCUGAUGUUGUUUGGAUGGAGGAUAGAGGAUCGCUAUGUUUUUUAAGAAGAAAAAAGAAACAGGGGAACUCCUUCAAGGUUUCUAGUGUUCCAUGGAUGUUCCAUGGAGAGGAUGAUGA
rnacentral:lncRNA from 1 species